AGUACAGAAUGACUCUCGACAACGGAUAUCUAGGCUCUUGCAUCGAUGAAGGACGUAGCGAAAUGCGAUACUUGGUGUGAAUUGCAGAAUCCCGUGAACCAUCGAGUCUUUGAACGCAAGUUGCGCCCGAAGCCAUUAGGCUCAGGGCACGCCUGCCUGGGUGUCACCCA
rnacentral:rRNA from 1 species